GACGAACGCUGGCGGCGUGCUUAACACAUGCAAGUCGAACGGAAAGGCCCUGCUUUUGUGGGGUGCUCGAGUGGCGAACGGGUGAGUAACACGUGAGUAACCUGCCCUUGACUUUGGGAUAACUUCAGGAAACUGGGGCUAAUACCGGAUAGGAGCUCCUGCUGCAUGGUGGGGGUUGGAAAGUUUCGGCGGUUGGGGAUGGACUCGCGGCUUAUCAGCCUGUUGGGGGGGUAGUGGCUUACCAAGGCUUUGACGGGUAGCCGGCCUGAGAGGGUGACCGGCCACAUUGGGACUGAGAUACGGCCCAGACUCCUACGGAAGGCAGCAGUGGGGAAUAUUGCACAAUGGGCGGAAGCCUGAUGCAGCAACGCCGCGUGCGGGAUGACGGCCUUCGGGUUGUAAACCGCUUUCGCCUGUGACGAAGCGUGAGUGACGGUAAUGGGUAAAGAAGCACCGGCUAACUACGUG
rnacentral:rRNA from 1 species